CAGGGUCACCCAAACCCACACAGACCAAUCUCUUUUCUUCGAGUUGAUAUGUGAGUCCCCGAUGGGUUGAGAUCACCUUGCCUGUAUCAGACACAGAGAACACCCACUGGUCUUCUAUGCACACCUACAAUUCCAGACUCUCCUGCUGGAAGCUAAGACCCUGCAGCCGGUUCUAGAUUAUAGACAGAAGUGCUAUCACCUCCUGGAGGAGGUAGCUGAUGCUGGCAACAAUGCUCCUUUAGACCCUUUUCUCCCUGCUAGAGCCAACAAGAUGCCGUGGGACUCAGAUGGCAUAGCUUCAAGAUGGCACAUCAUCUGCUAGCUGGUAUCCUGAAGGACUGCACAGAUCUGAGAUUCCUACUGCUCUGUGUUGGACAUGUAUGUUAUAUGAGCAAGACCCAAAUGGCACCGGUCUGUCUCUGAGAUUUGGAGACUUUUCUGUGCUGUGGUUACUACAUUGCUUAAUGUUAGUCCAACAUCAUUGCUGCAUGCCACCUUUCCAUUUCCUUCUGCCUGAUAUUACUGAGUUCAAACUGGGCACUCAGGGCAGAGCCAGCAAAAGAGGCCUUUUCAUCUAAACAGUGACUGUCAUGAGCUAGUCAGACAUGGGUUGUGUAAAUGAAACAACUGAAGAGGAUGCUCUCCGUAUGUGACCGGUGAAAACAACUCUUGAACUUGACCUCCAGAUAUCCUGGUUCCAUCGACCAGACUGUGCCAGCUGUGAAACCAAGAUGGCGUCUCUAUCCGGUCCAUCACCUUAUAUAGAACUUUCAGCGAAGUGGAAAGCCAUCGCGUGGCUACUAACACUUAAGCGAUGCUUCAGAGGAAGCUGCCUGAAUUCUUACUGCCUUCGAGUGUCUCAUGGAGAUCGCUUCCUCUUGCUGCCAGCCGGGACACAGUGGCAGACUUGCAUAGGAAAAUACCCAGCCUGGCUGCCUGCAGCUAACAAGCCAGCCGCCAUUUAAAUUUCAAUCAGCCCCUCUGUUUGUGUGUGAGUUUCUUG
rnacentral:lncRNA from 1 species